rnacentral:rRNA from 1 species
GACGAACGCUGGCGGCGUGCCUAAUACAUGCAAGUAGAACGCAGUUGCGAACGGGUGAGUAACGCGUAGGUAACUGCCCCACAGCGGGGGAUAACUAUUGGAAACGAUAGCUAAUACCGCAUACUGUGAGAUGGACCUGCGUUGUAUUAGCUAGUUGGUGAGGUAAAGGCUCACCAAGGCGACGAUACAUAGCCGACCUGAGAGGGUAAGCGGCCAAAAUGGGACUGAGAACCGAGCCCGACUCCUACGGGAGGCAGCAGUAGGGAAUCUUCGGCAAUGAACGGAAGUCUGACCGAGCAACGACGCGUGAGUGAAGAAGGUUUUCGAAUCGUAAAGCUCUGUUGUUAGAGAAGCGGUAACUAAAAAGGAAGGGACGGCUAACUACGUGCCAGCAGCCGCGGUAAUUC